UACGUAGGGUGCGAGCGUUGUCCGGAAUUAUUGGGCGUAAAGGGCUCGUAGGCGGUUUGUCGCGUCGGGAGUGAAAUCCACUGGCUUAACUGGUGGCUUGCUUUCGAUACGGGCAGACUGGAGGUAUGCAGGGGAGAACGGAAUUCCUGGUGUAGCGGUGAAAUGCGCAGAUAUCAGGAGGAACACCGGUGGCGAAGGCGGUUCUCUGGGCAUGUCCUGACGCUGAGGAGCGAAAGCGUGGGAGCAAACAGG
rnacentral:rRNA from 1 species